rnacentral:rRNA from 1 species
AGCGAACGCUGGCGGCGUACUUAACACAUGCAAGUCGAACGAGGAUCGUCGGGUUAGCAAUAAUUCGGCGGUUCUAGUGGCGUACGGGUGAGUAACACGUGGGUAACCUGCCCUCCGAGUCCGGGAUACCCUCUCGAAAGGGAGGCUAAUACUGGAUACGUUCCCUAGGUCGCAAGGCCUGGGGAGGAAAGGUAGCGAGAGCUGCCGCUCUUGGAGGGGCGUCGCGGCCUAUCAGCUAGUUGGNGUAGG